AAUGUAGCUCAGUGGUAGAGUGCUUGCCUAGCACACAUGAGGCCUUGGGUUCAAUUCCCCAUAUU
rnacentral:tRNA from 1 species